rnacentral:rRNA from 1 species
AGAAAGUUCGCUUCGGCGGAUUANUAAAGUGGCGCACGGGUGAGUAACGCGUGGAUAAUCUGCCCUUAAGUCGGGAAUAACUCAUCGAAAGGUGGGCUAAUACCGGAUAAUGCUGGUUUUACCUCGGUAAUGCAGCCAAAGGGGGCCUCUACUUGUAAGCUCUUGCUUAAGGAUGAGUCCGCGUACCAUUAGCUAGUUGGUGGGGUAAUGGCCUACCAAGGCUACGAUGGUUAGCUGGUCUGAGAGGAUGAUCAGCCACACUGGAACUGAGACACGGUCCAGACUCCUACGGGAGGCAGCAGUGAGGAAUCUUGCGCAAUGGGGGCAACCCUGACGCAGCAACGCCGCGUGAGUGAGGAAGGUUUUCGGAUCGUAAAGCUCUGUCCGGUGGAAAGAAAGGCAUGGGAGCUAAUAUCUCCCAUGUUUGACGGUACCACCAAAGGAAGCACCGGCUAACUCCGUGCCAGCAGCCGCGGUAAUACGGGGGGUGCAAGCGUUGUUCGGAAUUAUUGGGCGUAAAGAGCGUGUAGGCGGCUUGAUAAGUCAGAUGUGAAAGCCCUGGGCUUAACCCAGGAAGUGCAUUUGAAACUGUCUCGCUAGAAUAGGGGAGGGGGAAGUGGAAUUCCUGGU